rnacentral:lncRNA from 1 species
AAAAUAUUAGUGUGUUGAUAAUUUUACUUGGUCUUAUCUUGCAUCAUCUCUCUUAUUUUCUCCAUUUCCAUCUAGAAAUUCCAUGUGUUAUUCUAGUAAUUGCAUUCCAGAUUACUGACUUCUCAAGUACCUCAUAGGCAACUACUGGUUCCUGGAAUUCUGACUGGGUGCUCAGGAUAAAAAGAAGGAAAAAGAAGCAGCAAAGGUAUCAUGGAUCUAAAUAUGAAAAUUCUAAAAUUAUAAGAUAAAAUAGAAUAUUCUUUUCUGCCCACAUCUUGGAUUUGGGAAUGAUUUCUUCAACAACCAACCAAAAAGGAAAACAAAAAAGAUAAUAUCAAAACCAAACUUUAAAAAACCAAGG